UGUCCAACCAUUGCAGAAGUGUUUCGCAAGUCGAAGAAGAGAGUACAAGGUGUCCUGGGGAGAGGACUUCGCCUUCCGGAGAUGGUAUCAAGAACUAAUUGAUGAUGGGAACAUGACAAACCAUGGAAAAGAAAUUCAAGUUUUACCAUAAAGAAGAUUACCAUAAUUCAAGAGUUUUGGAGUUCACCAAAAUUUGUGAUAAUGAAUAACUUGAAGAAACUGAAGAUGGGAACAAGAAGAAUCAUGAAAAAGAAAUUCAAGUUUUACUAUAAAGAAGAAAAACCAUAAUUCAAGUAUUCCUUCAAAAAGGAAUUCAAAUUUUAUUAUGAAGAAAACACCAUAACUGAAUUAUUCAAAAGACCACCAGAAUGCACAGGAAUAAAUAAGUUAAAGAAGCAAAUGAAAUCAUGUAAGGAUGAAGAGGAUAAAAGGAAGAAUGAUCUGAAGAAAUGAUAAACAAUUCUAUGGAAAUGAAUAGCUAAUUUUGAAGAAGAAGAGGGAUAAAUGACUGCCAAGAAGAAAAAUAGAUGCACCAGAAAAAUUCUAUGGACUUCAAAGUAUUAGCUUUCUGGUUUUCACUCAAAACAACCCAAAAUAAAGAAUUAAAAUUUCAAGGUGUAGAAGAUAAGCAUUAUCAAGAAGAAAAUUAAUAAUAACAAACAGUUGAAGAAUUAAUAGAUAUUUCCUAUGCUGAACCUUGAAUUCAACAAAUAAAAAAUUAGUGAUACUGCAUAAAAAAUGAUAAAACUUUACCACACAAAAUUGUUAUAAUUUACAAAAACUCUACUUUCAGAAAGAAGAUCGAAUUUUUAAACAUCUGUUCAAAAUACAAUAAGGCAACUCAUUUCUACAAAAAUAUAUGAACAAUAAUUAAUAUAAAAGUUUUCGAAUAAAAUUUUGGCUGAACCAAAAUUUGAAUGAAGAAAACUUUAGCGCUGAUUUUUGAAGACUUCUGGUAAACGCUACUUUUUAUCUGAGAUUUCGUUACCAAUAAUGUAAAAUGUAAAUCAUAAACAAUAAAACUACGAAACCUGUCGAAACGGUACAAAAAGCAUCGAUGUGUGAAUAAUUAACUACUUUGCAAAUUGAGUUUUGCUGGAUCCACAUUCAGUUGGAUAAGGAUUGUUGAAAACUAAUUACUCCCGAAGAAUAGAAGUGAAACAA